rnacentral:rRNA from 1 species
UAAUUCCAGCUCCAAUAGCGUAUAUUAAAAUUGUUGCAGUUAAAAAGCUCGUAGUUGAAUUUCUGCUGCAUUGCUUGUGUCCCUCCGGGGUCUGUGCAUGUGGCUUUUUUCGGACGGAGUUUCUUUGUCUGAAUGUUUACUUUGAGAAAAUUAGAGUGCUCAAAGCAGGCUUUUGCCUUGAAUAGUUUAGCAUGGAAUAAUAGAGUAGGACUUUGGUUCUAUUUUGUUGGUUUUAGGUACCAAAGUAAUGGUUAAUAGGAACAGUUGGGGGCAUUCGUAUUUAACUGUCAGAGGUGAAAUUCUUAGAUUUGUUAAAGACGAACUACUGCGAAAGCAUUUGCCAAGGAUGUUUUCAUUAAUCAAGAACGAAAGUUAGGGGAUCGAAGACGAUCAGAUACCGUCGUAGUCCUAACCAUAAACAAUGCCGACUAGAGAUUGGAGGUCGUCAGUUUUUACGAC